UGGGGAAUAUUGCACAAUGGGGGAAACCCUGAUGCAGCGAUGCCGCGUGGAGGAAGAAGGUUUUCGGAUUGUAAACUCCUUUUAUCAGGGACGAUAAUGACGGUACCUGAAGAAAAAGCNCCGGCUAACUACGUGCCAGCAGCCGCGGUAAUACGUAGGGAGCGAGCGUUGUCCGGAAUUACUGGGUGUAAAGGGAGCGUAGGCGGGACGGCAAGUCAGAUGUGAAAACUAUGGGCUCAACCUAUAGACUGCAUUUGAAACUGCUGUUCUUGAGUGAGGUAGAGGUAAGCGGAAUUCCUGGUGUAGCGGUGAAAUGCGUAGAGAUCAGGAGGAACAUCGGUGGCGAAGGCGGCUUACUGGGCCUUUACUGACGCUGAGGCUCGAAAGCGUGGGGAGCAAACAGG
rnacentral:rRNA from 1 species